GACGAACUGUGCAAACGUUAUUCGGAAUCACUGGGCUUGAAGAGUGCGUAGGCGGUUUCGUAAGUAGGGUGUGAAAGCCCCCGGCUCAACCGGGGAAUUGCGCCCUAAACUGCGAGGCUGGAGUGAGGUAGGGGUGUGUGGAACUUCUAGUGGAGCGGUGAAAUGUGUUGAUAUUAGAAGGAACGCCGGUGGCGAAAGCGACACACUGGACCUUGUCUGACGCUGAGGCACGAAAGCCAGGGGAGCAAACGGG
rnacentral:rRNA from 2 species